GGAUGAGCUUUUUUUGCAUGCGGCUGCAUUUUGUCUUUAUUAUUAUUUUUUACAUUGUUAUUUUAUUUCAUUAGUUAAUCCUUUGGAAUACGAAGAUCAAGGUUUCGAAUCCGAAGAAAAACUCAACGAACAAGAAUCAUUUACCGAAGAAUUGUCGGAAUUGUCGUCUGACAAUUAUGAUUCAGAUGCUGGACUUACAGAAGAGGAAGUAUUGUUGGAAAAAGCUACCGGCCAUGACAAGGACGCAGAAAAUGCAGUACAGAAAUCAACUUUGGUUUUACGCCUUCGCGAAGACAUCGACAGCUGCUUUGCACGAUUACUUAACAUCAUUCACGUGAGUAAAAUCAUAAU